GAACACUGGCGGCGAUGCCUAAUAUGCAACCCGAAGCGAACUGAAUUAGAAGCUUGCUUCUAUGACGUUAGCGGCGGACGGGUGAGUAACACGUGGGCAACCUGCCUGUAAGACUGGGAUAACUUCGGGAAACCGAAGCUAAUACCGGAUAGGAUCUUCUCCUUCAUGGGAGAUGAUUGAAAGAUGGUUUCGGCUAUCACUUACAGAUGGGCCCGCGGUGCAUUAGCUAGUUGGUGAGGUAACGGCUCACCUGGGCAACGAUGCAUACCCGACCUGAAAGGGUGAUCGGGCCAUUCUGGGUACUGACACACGUCCCCCAGUCUUACGGGGAGGCACACAUGGAAUCUUCCCAGGACCAAAGUCUGACGGAACAAGGCCCCUGAGUUAUGAGCUUUCCGGCCUUAAACUCAGGUGGUUGGGAAAAAACCAGUGCCACACUUGCUGCCUCGUCCCCUGAAAGGGGCAAAACCUCAAACCCAAGGUUAACUACAUGCGCUCAACCCCGGGUAAGGGUAGCGGGAAGCGUAAAAAAAACUAUUGCCCCAAAGUGUGGGCGGCCGGUUUCUUAAUUUGAAUGUGAAAACCCCCGGCCCCAACCCUGGAAGGGGAAUGGUAAAUGGGG
rnacentral:rRNA from 1 species